UACGUAGGGGGCGAGCGUUGUCCGGAAUUAUUGGGCGUAAAGGGUUCGCAGGCGGUUUUUUAAGUCAGAUGUGAAAGGUCACGGCUCAACCGUGGUAAGCAUUUGAAACUGGAAGACUUGAGUUAUGGAGAGGAAAGUGGAAUUCCUAGUGUAGCGGUGAAAUGCGUAGAUAUUAGGAGGAAUACCAGUGGCGAAGGCGACUUUCUGGACAUAUACUGACGCUGAGGAACGAAAGCGUGGGGAGCAAACAGG
rnacentral:rRNA from 1 species